UACGUAGGGUGCGAGCGUUAAUCGGAAUUACUGGGCGUAAAGGGCGCGUAGGCGGCCUUCUAAGUCGAACGUGAAAUCCCCGGGCUCAACCCGGGAACUGCGUCCGAGACUGGAAGGCUUGAAUCCGGGAGAGGGAUGUGGAAUUCCAGGUGUAGCGGUGAAAUGCGUAGAUAUCUGGAGGAACAUCGGUGGCGAAGGCGGCAUCCUGGACCGGUAUUGACGCUGAGGCGCGAAAGCCAGGGGAGCAAACGGGG
rnacentral:rRNA from 1 species